GUAGGGUCCAAGCGUUUAAUCGGAAUUACUGGGCGUAAAGCGUGCGCAGGCGGUUGUGCAAGACCGAUGUGAAAUCCCCGAGCUUAACUUGGGAAUUGCAUUGGUGACUGCACGGCUAGAGUGUGUCAGAGGGGGGUAGAAUUCCACGUGUAGCAGUGAAAUGCGUAGAGAUGUGGAGGAAUACCGAUGGCGAAGGCAGCCCCCUGGGAUAACACUGACGCUCAUGCACGAAAGCGUGGGGGGGAGCAAACAGGAUUAGAUACCCUGGUAGUCCACGCCCUAAACGAUGUCAACUAGUUGUUGGGGAUUCAUUUCCUUAGUAACGUAGCUAACGCGUGAAGUUGACCGCCUGGGGAUACGGUCGCAAGAUUA
rnacentral:rRNA from 1 species